GACCUGGGUGGUGCUGCCCCGAUUUCUCCAGUGUUUCUUUCCCAGACAGCCUGGUCCUCUCCUUCUUGCAGGUGGUUAUGAAGGCCCUGCUCCUUUGUCCCUCCUACUCUCUGUUCACAGCACCCUUGUGGUCCUAGGCAUUAUGAAAGGAUACCAGAAGAAAUAUGAAGCAGACGCUUUGAAGCCUGAACAAUAGACCUCGGCAGCCCCAACCCAACUUGGCUUAAUUCCGUCUCAAUGAACCAGAGCCAAUACUCUUGGCUCCCUGGCCUUGCUACAACUCUCUGAUCCUUAGAAU
rnacentral:lncRNA from 12 species